UGAAUACUGGGGUAACUACUUAGAAGUAUAAGAUGCAAAGGAGCCAACAUUAUUAUCAUUAACACUGAUGGUGGUCUAACCAGCAGGAGAGUCCGUUCUAAUAGAAAUUUAAUUUUUUUUCAGAUAGCUACUCACUCCUGUUCAACACAGCCUGGGAUAAGACAACCUUACCUCUACUCUGGGGACAGCCUGGUGAACUAAGCGUUAUCCCAGAUUUCUGCUCAGAACUUGGUUCAGGAAUGGCUCUAUGACCCAAGUUGGGCCACUGGGAUACAGGAAGCAGAUCCAGGAGCUCCUGGGGAAGUUCUUUCUCAUUUUCUUGGGGAGUUUCCGAAAGCUACCCUCUCUCAGUUUCCCUCGAUGUUGCUGUCCAGAUGCAAGGCCUGGUGUUACUGUAAUCAUCCUAUCAGCUUGACGAUGAAGCUGACACAGACGGCAAAGCCAGACCUAUGGAAUCACAGCCAUUGGAUCUGUAUCACCUUGAAGUCCCAAGGACAACAUCCAUCAGAGUCAGCUCGGGAAUCUGCUAGAAAUUCAGUUUCAUGGGCCCAAACUGUGACCUACCAAAUCAGUAUUGACAUCCCCAGCAAUGACGUACAGCAGUAUAUGUGACUGAUGUCUGAUUUGAUUUAUUGCUGAUGAAGAAAGAUCAUCUUUACUGUAAUAAAGCAAUAAAAAGUCUGCAGCGCAGAGUAUUUCUAUCAUUUGCCCAAGAACGCAUGAUUGGAGGGUGGCAGAGGUUCAAGCCUAGCCUGCAUGUUCGACUUCCUCACCAUCCUUCUUCAUUCCUGGAGUGCUGUCAGGGCAAUGGUCCUUCUCACCUCAGGCCCCCUCCGAUCCUCCUCUCCCCUGGGAGCAGUAGGGAACAUCAGGCCAGGCUGUCAGAUCACCUAGUCCCACAAGCGGAAGAAGUCCCCUCGCUGUCCUCUCCAAGACCCCGCCUGCAGCCGACAUUGCUGAGGACUCUUCACCAGUUUCAAGCCUGGUUUUCCGAGAGAAGAAAAUGUUCUCCGCUGAAACAAUUAUUGGAAUACAAGAUAAGGAUGAAGGUCAUAACAAGCUUGUGGUGAAGAAGUGUAAGUGGAAGAAAGAAUGACCUGGUUCACACCCAGGGCCCAGGCUCUAUAGAGGUGAGGCCACUGCUGCCCACCUCUGUCCUCCUCUGGAUGCUCAUGCGAGGCUACCUUUUGCUCCAAACCUGCUGGAACCUAAGAUGAGACAUGAUAAAAUAAAUGGGCUGACCAAUAAAACAGGGGGAGCUGAGUUUCAGGAGAGCCUACGCUGCUGUCUUUACCAAUGGUCCCUGGAGCUCUGUUUAUAAGUAAAUUAGGAGGAUCAGCCUGAU
ensembl:lncRNA